AUAUGAAUCAUGCAGGUAUCUUGAUAAAAUUCAGAUUAUGACUCAAAGGGCCUAGGGUGGGGCCUGAAAUUCUGCAUGUCUUUGAGGUCUCAAGUGAUACUGAU
rnacentral:pre_miRNA from 1 species